GACGAACGCUGGCGGCGUGCUUAACACAUGCAAGUCGAACGGGAUUUAGUAGACAGAAGCCUCGGCUAAAGAUUACUAAUGAGAGUGGCGAACGGGUGAGUAACGCGUGAGCACCCUGCCUAUGACAGUGGGAUAGCCUCGGGAAACCGGGAUUAAUACCGCAUAAAAUCGUAGAAACACAUGUUUUAACGGUCAAAGAUUUAUCGGUCAUAGAUGGGCUCGCGUCUGAUUAGCUAGUUGGUGAGAUAACAGCCCACCAAGGCGACGAUCAGUAGCCGGUCUGAGAGGAUGAACGGCCACAUUGGAACUGAGACACGGUCCAAACUCCUACGGGAAGCAGCAGUGGGGAAUAUUGCACAAUGGGGGAAACCCUGAUGCAGCGACGCCGCGUGAACGAAGAAGGUAUUCGUAUCGUAAAGUUCUGUCCUAUGGGAAGAUAAUGACAGUACCAUAGAAGAAAGCUCCGGCUAAAUACGUG
rnacentral:rRNA from 1 species